AUAGUUUAUUGCUUUCUGGGAUCCUUGGGAUAUCCAUGCCCUAAACCCUAACCUCAACUGUUACCUUAAUUUAACCGUGUUGAAUUUGAAUAGCAAUGUAGUGACGUCAGAGUGUGGACACCCGAAGGAUCCCACUUAGAUCCUUGCUUGAUAGUCAGUAAACGCCCGCGCUAUAAAACCAGUGUUUGAUAGAGUGCCAUUCAAAAGAACGCAGUUGUGAAUUCAUUAUAAUGUGCCUGUAUAAACUCGUAUACCUUACCUUAUUGAGACAAAACUGAGUUAAUUUUGUAUUACUAGAAUGGAUGUGGAAUGUUCACGAAGAGCGCGCAAAGAAGUCGCUUUGAUUGAUUCAUCGGAUCUUGAAUAAAUCAAGCCUACAAUCCGGAUGUUUGAUGCUGGCUCUGGCAGACAAUAACUUUCCAUGGGUUUUACAGAGAGAGGACAGGAGACCCUCUCCGUCAGCAACACCAAGAUCACGACCAGGAGAAGAACACGUUCAGCUGAGACCUUCAGGGGAGCGUUAUCCGACAAGAACUCACACUCUCUCUGCUAUGAGCUGCCUGUGAGGUUGUCAUGAGUAAUUGGGCUGAAGUCACCCUUGCUAGUGGAGGAAGAAGAAUUCAUCUGAGAUGUCUCAUGUUCGAUCGCCCCUAACUGAACCCUCAUCCUGGAAUAAUACUUAGCACCUGGUCAGGAAACAGCUGUGGGCUGUCUAUAACACAGUCCAGGGCCCCUCAAAACACUACACCGUUGAAGGGGAAAAACGAAUCACAGAUUAAUUGAGAAUAGUCGUGUCCAAAAGUUUCCUCUGUUUUAAGCACCGUAUGUGGUGUUACAGUACCUGGUGUGCCUACAGCAACAUUUGGAGCAGUCAUGAUGGAUGAACCCUCCACUGCUCCUCCACACACCUCCAUCCCAUUAUAGAUGUGCCUUGACGGCAGAUGUGUCUCGAAGUCCCUCCUCUCUGACACCACCCAUCCCCCUCCACACAGCUCUGUUCCAUCAGGUCUACAGCAUGUCUCGUACAGACUACAAACAUGGUUCCAUUCCUCAAAUGGACUACACAUAUGGCCCACCCUGCCCUAUGUAAGUUGAGAACUACAGGAAGAGACGCACAAUGUCCUAUUUGGACGAUGGGGAUAACAGCCGCAGAGGCCUGCCCAGUGUCCUAGAGUUGAGGCGGGUUCCUCUAUGGUCAUUGGGGCCCCUGAGGAGUGUCAGAAAGGUCAAGGUUAUCAGCUUCCUGCUAGGAUUGACGUUGACCUUCCUCAUCAUGGCAUCUUACAUCUUAACCUGGGAUAAAAAGGGUCUGAUGCUGACCCUGUCACCGUUCCACCUCAGGACUAUAGUCAACCCAAGCAGCACCCUCCCCCAUAACCUGUCUUCUACCAAGGACUACGCCAACAUUAAGCUCCUGGUGAAGUUCAUUACAUCUAAGCUUGAGUUCAGCCCAAGGAAGCUGCCUCUUCUGAAGGACGUUGUCAAUACGGACUCUCAUUUGUUUUCCGUUAUUCCUCGUCAGUUCCUCCCCAAUAUCAAGAGUCCAUGCUGGUAUGAGGAGCUCUCUGGGAAAACCAAAGUGGAUCCUUACAGUAAAAACUUGUAUGCAGUUCGCUCUAAGAGUUUCCGGACUGUCUGUGACUACCUAAGGAAACAUUUCCAGGAACACUUGUACCACAGUGACGACAAUAAGCAAUACCGCCUGCGCUGUCUGCCAUACUUCUACAUAAUUGGCCAGCCCAAAUGUGGCACAACGGACCUGUUUCACCGACUGCUGCUACACCCGGAGGUCAAGUUCACCACCAUGAAAGAGCCCCACUGGUGGACAAGGAAAAGGUUUGGUAUCAUCCAUCUUAAAGAUGGCCUCCUAGAACGCUUCCCUGUGGAGGAUUACCUGGACCUGUUUGAACUGGCUGCCUACCACAUCCAGGAGGGAAUACUGGGGAAUACCUCUGUAGACCACAACCAGCGACACAUUAUUACAGGUGAAGCAAGCGCAUCCACAAUGUGGGACAACCAAGCCUGGAGCUAUCUCUAUAACUACCGGGCAGAUGGGGAGCCUCCUUUCCUGGCCCAGGACUUCAUCCACGCAGUUCAGCCCAACGCUAAAAUCAUUGUCAUGCUCAGAGACCCAGUAGAGAGGUUAUAUUCAGACUACCUGUACUUCAACAUGGCUAACAAGUCUGUGGAGGACUUUGACCUGAGGGUCUCAGAAUCCCUACAGCUGUUUGAGGCUUGUUUAGCAGAAAACUCUGUGCGUUCCUGUGUCUACAACACAAGCCUCUCCAAUGCCAUGACGGUCCACAUUGGGGAGCUGUCUGACAAAAUCAUUUGACCAGUUCUUCAAGUACAGUGAGCUCCAGCAGUAUUGGGACAGUGACAGUUGUUUUGUUGUUUUGGCUCUGUACUCCAGCACUUUGGAUGUAAUUACACAAACUAUGAAGUUAAAGUGCAGACUGACAGCUUUAAUUUGAGGGUAUUUUCCAUUUAGGAAUUACAGUGCUUUUUGUACAUAUUCCCCCCAUUUUAGGGGACCAAAAGUAUUGGUACAAAAUCACUUACAUGUGUAUUAAAGUAGUAAAAAGUUAAGUAUUUGGUCCCAUAUUCAUAGCACGCAAUGACUACAUCAAGAACAGAAUGUUUCUAAACCCUUUUACAUUUAUGUGGAUGCUGCCUUGAUUAUGAAUAAUCCUGAAUGAAUUGUGAAUUGUGAAUAAUCCUCCACUGUUAUUGUAAUGGUGAGAUAUUAGCAUGUCUUGGGGUAUGAUGUUGGUGUGUAACUUUCUCACUCAUUAUUCACAAUUCAUUCAUGAUUAUACAUAAUCCUGGUACUGCAGCAUCCACAUUAAUGUAGAAGUGUUUAGAAAUGUAUUCUUAAUCUUAUUUACAAUAAAAGGGACUCAAAAAUGACUCUGUACAUUAUCUACCAUUAAUUUCUAUUGGGCACAAUUAAUCUGAAACACAACCAAAACAAACAGCAAAUGUAUCACGUUUUAGGGAAGACCCAGAUGCAGACAGUGUCGAAGUAACAAAAGUUUAUUACUAGAACAUGGACGGACAAAACGACAGGUCAAGGUCAGGCAGAGGUCAGUAAUCCAGAUCAGAGUCAAAAGGUACCGAACGGCAGGCAUGCUCAGGGUCAGGGCAAGCAGAGGUCAAUAAUCCAGAUCAGAGUCAAAAGGUACCGAACGGCAGGCAGGCUCAGGGUCAGGGCAAGCAGAGGUCAAUAAUCCAGAUCAGAGUCAAAAGGUACUGAACGGCAGGCAGGCUCAGGGUCAGGGCAAGCAGAGGUCAAUAAUCCAGAUCAGAGUCAAAAGGUACUGAACGGCAGGCAGGCUCAGGGUCAGGGCAAGCAGAGGUCAAUAAUCCAAGGCGGUGUGACAAGGUACCGAACGGCAGGCAGGCUCAGGGUCAGGGCAAGCAGAGGUCAAUAAUCCAGAUCAGAGUCAAAAGGUACUGAACGGCAGGCAGGCUCAGGGUCAGGGCAAGCAGAGGUCAAUAAUCCAGAUCAGAGUCAAAAGGUACUGAACGGCAGGCAGGCUCAGGGUCAGGGCAAGCAGAGGUCAAUAAUCCAAGGCGGUGUGACAAGGUACCGAACGGCAGGCAGGCUCAGGGUCAGGGCAAGCAGAGGUCAAUAAUCCAGAUCAGAGUCAAAAGGUACUGAACGGCAGGCAGGCUCAGGGUCAGGGCAAGCAGAGGUCAAUAAUCCAGAUCAGAGUCAAAAGGUACUGAACGGCAGGCAGGCUCAGGGUCAGGGCAAGCAGAGGUCAAUAAUCCAGAUCAGAGUCAAAAGGUACUGAACGGCAGGCAGGCUCAGGGUCAGGGCAAGCAGAGGUCAAUAAUCCAGAUCAGAGUCAAAAGGUACUGAACGGCAGGCAGGCUCAGGGUCAGGGCAAGCAGAGGUCAAUAAUCCAAGGCGGUGUGACAAGGUACCGAACGGCAGGCAGGCUCAGGGUCAGGGCAAGCAGAGGUCAAUAAUCCAGAUCAGAGUCAAAAGGUACUGAACGGCAGGCAGGCUCAGGGUCAGGGCAAGCAGAGGUCAAUAAUCCAGAUCAGAGUCAAAAGGUACUGAACGGCAGGCAGGCUCAGGGUCAGGGCAAGCAGAGGUCAAUAAUCCAGAUCAGAGUCAAAAGGUACUGAACGGCAGGCAGGCUCAGGGUCAGGGCAAGCAGAGGUCAAUAAUCCAAGGCGGUGUGACAAGGUACCGAACGGCAGGCAGGCUCAGGGUCAGGGCAAGCAGAGGUCAAUAAUCCAGAUCAGAGUCAAAAGGUACUGAACGGCAGGCAGGCUCAGGGUCAGGGCAAGCAGAGGUCAAUAAUCCAGAUCAGAGUCAAAAGGUACUGAACGGCAGGCAGGCUCAGGGUCAGGGCAAGCAGAGGUCAAUAAUCCAAGGCGGUGUGACAAGGUACCGAACGGCAGGCAGGCUCAGGGUCAGGGCAAGCAGAGGUCAAUAAUCCAGAUCAGAGUCAAAAGGUACUGAACGGCAGGCAGGCUCAGGGUCAGGGCAAGCAGAGGUCAAUAAUCCAGAUCAGAGUCAAAAGGUACUGAACGGCAGGCAGGCUCAGGGUCAGGGCAAGCAGAGGUCAAUAAUCCAGAUCAGAGUCAAAAGGUACUGAACGGCAGGCAGGCUCAGGGCACCAAGAAUGGUCAAAACUGGGAAAACUAGAAAACAGGAUGUUUUUUUGUUUUUUAUUUCACCUUCAUUUAACCAGGUAGGCUAGUUGAGAACAAGUUCUCAUUUGCAACUGCGACCUGGCCAAGAUAAAGCAAAGCAGUGUGACACAGACAACAACACAGAGUUACACAUGGAGUAAACAAUAAACAAGCCAAUAAUACAAACAAGUCAAUGACACAGUAGAAAAAAUAAAGUCUAUAUACAGUGUGUGCAAAAGGUAGGCAAUAAAUAGGCCAUAGGAGCGAAUAAUUACAAUUUAGCAGAUUAACACUGGAGCGAUAAAUAAGCAGAUGAUGAUGUGCAAGUAGGGAUACUGGUGUGCAAAAGAGCAGAAAAGUAAAUAAAAUAAAAACAGUAUGGGGAUGAGGUAGGUAGAUUGGGUGGGCUAUUUACAGAUGGACUAUGUACAGCUGCAGUGAUCGGUUAGCUGCUCAGAUAGUUGAUGUUUAAAGAGGGAAAUAAAAGUCUCCAACUUCAGCGAUUUUUGCAAUUCGUUCCAGUCACUGGCAGCAGAGAACUGGAAGGAAAGGCGGCCAAAGGAGGUGUUGGCUUUGGGGAUGAUCAGUGAGAUAUACCUGCUGGAACGUGUACUACGUGUGGGUGUUGUUAUCGUGACCAGUGAACUGAGAUAAGGCGGAGCUUUACCUAGCAUAGACUUAUAGAUGACCUGGAGACAGUGGGUCUGGCGACGAAUAUGUAGCGGGGGACAGCCGACGAGAGCAUAUAGGUCGCAGUGGUGGGUGGUAUAAGGUGAUUUGGUAACAAAACGGAUGGCACUGCAGCAAACUGCAUCCAGUUUGCUGCAUCUACUGAGUAGAGUGUUGGAAGCUAUUUUGUAGAUGACAUCGCCGAAGUCGAGGAUCAGUAGGAUAGUCAGUUUUACUAGGGCAAGUUUGGUGGCGUGAGUGAAGGAGGCUUUGUUGCGAAAUAGAAAGCCGAUUCUAGAUUUGAUUUUGGAUUGGAGAUGUUUAAUAUGAGUCUGGAAGGAGAGUCUACAGUCUAGCCAGACACCUAGGUAUUUAUAGUUGUCCACAUAUUCUAGGUCGGAACCGUCUAGGGUGGUGAUGCUAGUCGGGCGGGCGGGUGCGGGCAGCGAAUGGUUGAAGAGCAUGCAUUUAGUUUUACUAGCGUUAAAGAGCAGUUGGAGGCCACGGAAGGAGUGUUGUAUGGCAUUGAAGCUCGUUUGGAGGUUAGUUAGCACAGUGUCCAAGGAAGGGCCAGAAAUACACAGAAUGGUGUCGUCUGCGUAGAGGUGGAUCAGGGAAUCGCCCGCAGCAAGAGCGACAUCAUUGAUAUAUACAGAGAAAAGAGUCGGCCCGAGAAUUUAACCUUGGCCAGGUCGAUGAAGACGGCUGCACAGUACUGUCUUUUAUCGAUGGCGAUUAUGAUAUUGUUUAGUACCUUGAGCAUGGCUGAGGUGCACCCGUGACCGGCUCGGAAGCCGGAUUGCACAACGGAGAUGGUACGGUGGGAUUCGAAAUGGUCAGUGAUCUGUUUAUUAACUUGGCUUUGGAAGACUUUAGAUAGGCAGGGCAGGAUGGAUAUAGGUCUGUAACAGUUUGGGUCUAGGGUGCCUUUGAAGAGGGGGAUGACCGCGGCAGCUUUCCAAUCUUUAGGGAUCUGGGACGAUACGAAAGAGAGGUUGAACAGGCUGGUAAUAGGGGUUGCAACAAUGGCGGCGGAUAGUUUUAGAAAGAGAGGGUCCAAAUUGACAAGCCCAGCUGAUUUGUACGGGUCCAGGUUUUGCAGCACUUUCAGAACAUCUGCUGCCUGGAUUUGGUUGAAAGAGAAGCUGGGGAGGCUUGGGCGAGUAGCUUCGGGAGGGGGGAGCUGUUGGCCGGGGUUUGAGUAGCCAUGAGGAAGGCAUGGCCAGCCGUUGAGAAAUGCUUAUUGAAAUGUUCGAUGAUCAUGGAUUUAUCAGUGGUUACCGUGUUACCUAGCCUCAGUGCAGUUGGCAGCUGGGAGGACUUGCUCUUGUUCUCCAUGGACUUUACAGUGUCCCAAAACAUUUUGGGGUUAGAGCUACAGGUUUUGAAUUUCUGCUUGAAAAAUCUAGCCUUUGCUUUCCUGACUGACUGCGUGUAUUGGUUCCUGACUUCCCUGAACACUUGCAUAUCGUGGGGACUAUUCGAUGCUAUGGCAGUCCGCCACAGGAUGUUUUUGUGCUGGUCAAGGGCAGUCAGGUCAGGAGUGAACCAAGGGCUAUAAUCUGUUCUUAGUUCUGCAUUUUUUCUAUGAUGGUGAGGAAAUUACUUUUAAAGAAUGACCAGGCAUCCUCAACUGACGGGAUGAGGUCAAUAUCCUUCCAGGAUACCCGGGCCAGGUCGAUUUAGAAAGGCCUGCUCGCAGAAGUGUUUUAGGGAGCGUUUGACAGUGAUGAGGGGUGGUCGUUUGACCGCGGACCCAUAGCGGAUACAGGCAAUGAGGCAGUGAUUGCUGAGAUCCUGAUUGAAAACAGCGGAGGUGUAUUUGGAGGGUAAGUUGUUCAGGAUAAUGUCUAUGAGGGUGCCCAUGUUUAUGGAUUUAGGGUUGUACCUGAUGGGUUCCUUGAUGAUUUGUGUGAGAUUGAGGGCAUCUAGCCUGGUGGGAGGAGACAAGCACAAAAACAGGUGUAACAGAUCAGGGUGUGGCAAAAUGCAGUCAAUCAAAUUGAAACUGACAGUCUGCACUUAACCUCAUAGUCAUUGUAUUAUAUCAGUACUGGAGUACAGAGCCAAAACAACAAAAAUGGUCACUGUCCCAAUACUUUCAAGACUGCUUAUUACCAACUACUACAACUAUCAAUGCAGUAGAGCUACCUCAAAAACUUCCUCUAUCCCUCUCAUCAUUGUGUUGUGUACAUUCCUCUCUCAUGCGUUCUGUGUGUAGGCUAUCCGCCUCUGUCAGAGCCGGGAAGAACAGGCACAAUGGAUAAUGGUAAUUGUAGUUAAUCACCAUGUUUCUCUUCUGAACUAGGUUGAAUAUUUGCCUAAUGAAAACUACAACUAAAAUGUGCAUGUAAUCCAGCGUCCCACAUAGUUCUUGACUUAAUUUCUCUCUUGAAUUAUUUGAUUUCUCUCUAGAGAAACAGAGUGUUGAGCUCACAAAAAAACAAACUAAAUGGAAUUCAAGUAAUUGAACCGACGUUGGUCAAUCGGUUGUUUGAUAACACACCCCCCCCAGCACUACCGUAGGUGUUCAAGGUAAAUGCAUUGGAAUGCAUAUCCUGUUGUAUCACUGUUCUUGGUGGAUAGUGUGUUGUCUAGAUGGAAACAUAAGACAAUUGUGCAAAAGCAAGAAUAAACACUUAGUUCGACUGCAUUUAUUAAGAGGUCUGAUUAUGUAAACAAAGUGCAUACAAAGUUAAGCAGAGAUGGCUUUGUCUAUGCCAAAUUGUAUUUCUUAACUAAAUUGAUUCCAUGCCAAAUUGCGAUCCAUAACUCAGGACUUUUUUUCCCAUGCCUAAUAGAAUUUGUUAUUCAAAUCACGGCCACUUCCUGGAAGAUGGUGAAAAUGUGCUGUGACAUAUGCCUCAGUAGAUCUACUGACUUGAUAACUGAUUAACUAAUCAAGAACUGUGAAGUUUCCUUUCAGAACAGAUUCGACUGAGAUGCAGUUACUGUAAGUCAUUUAGGAAGUAGUUGUCUCUGGAAAUAUUGGCAUUUAUUUCCAGAAAUUCUUAUUACUGUUUUAACUAUUUUACAACCCUGAAAUGGAUAUUGGCUCAGUUUUAUACAGGCACAGUAUGUAUGCUUUGUUUAGUUUAUUUGGAUCCACUUUCAGCAGCUACUCUUCCUGGGGUCCACAAGUUUUAAUGCUGUAAACAUUUCCUUACUUGGGUGCAGCUGUCAUAGCCUGGGGCACAGCUAGUUUACAUAGGAAAAGCACAAAUCUAGAUACCUACUGCCAGAGAUGUCCACUACUGUUCACACUGUUCUACAUACAUCUCAGCCUGAUUUGUGGUAGUAAUGUCAUUGUAUUGGUGCCAACAUGGGACUCAGAGUUCCGUGUGUACCUAUUAAGGCACAUAUUUUCUAAGUAAAAUGCAUUUGACGUUCAGCAACGUGAAUGUCAUUGUCAACCGACAUGAAUGUUGACCUACAGUAGCUCCCUGUUUACAUUGCACUUCUGAAUCCAUGCUGUUGAGCUUAUGAUCAUUUUUAAAAUAUGUAAAGUUCAUCAUCUCAGAAGGUGCCACUUCUCUUUUUGCUGCAUCUGCAGAGACAUAAUUACUUUUGUCGGUUGGUCUCUAGCACUCCCUGCAGGUUAGCUUGUGUACUGUUAACAGGAGUCAUAGCAUGUAGCUUGUUCUCCACCUUCACAAUGAAGCCGUAGUAGAAGAGUUAUGGAAAUCAUAUGGAAGUCUUACCUGCAGUGUUUGUUGUGAUCCUCUCCAGGUCAGACUGAACCUAGGACUGUAUAGUGUCUUCCUGCUGGACUGGUUGACUGUCUUCCAUAGAGAUCAGAUCCUAGUUCUGCAGUUAGAAGAUUACGCUGCCAAUCUGAGACUCACCAUACGUAAAGUCUUUGACUUC